rnacentral:misc_RNA from 1 species
GAUGAGAACGUAGCGAAAUGCGAUACUUGGUGUGAAUUGCAGAAUCCCGUGAACCAUCGAGUCUUUGAACGCAAGUUGCGCCCGAAGCCAUUAGGCCGAGGGCACGCCUGCCUGGGCGUCACACGUCGUUGCCCCCCCAUCUACUCCUUCGGGAUUGCGGGGGGCGGAUGAUGGCCUCCCGUGCGCCUCGUCGCGCGGUUGGCAUAAAUGCCAAGUCCUCGGCGACGCACGCCACGACAAUCGGUGGUUGCGAAACCUCGGUUGCCCGUCGUGUGCGGUCGUCGCGCAUCGAGGGCUCGAAAAAAUUGCCGGGCUCCGGCUCGGCUUUCAACGCGACCCCAGGUCAGGCGGGGUUACCCGCUGAAUUUAAGCAUAUCAUAAGCGGAGGA